rnacentral:rRNA from 1 species
CCUACGGGAGGCAGCAGUGGGGAAUAUUGCACAAUGGGGGGAACCCUGAUGCAGCGACGCCGCGUGGGUGAAGGAGUAUUUCGGUAUGUAAAGCCCUAUCAGCAGGGAAGAACAAUGACGGUACCUGACUAAGAAGCACCGGCUAAAUACGUGCCAGCAGCCGCGGUAAUACGUAUGGUGCAAGCGUUAUCCGGAUUUACUGGGUGGAAAGGGAGCGCAGGCGGCGCGUUAAGCCUGGUGUGAAAGCCCGCGGGCCAACCGCGGGACUGCAUGGGGAACUGGCGCGCUGGAGUGCCGGAGGGGUAGGCGGAAUUCCUAGUGUAGCGGUGAAAUGCGUAGAUAUUAGGAGGAACACCAGUGGCGAAGGCGGCCUACUGGACGGUGACUGACGCUGAGGCUCGAAAGCGUGGGGAGCAAACAGGAUUAGAUACCCUGGUAGUC